rnacentral:rRNA from 1 species
ACAGUGAUGCAGAGCAAAUCCCCAAAAGCAGUCUUAGUUCGGAUUGUAGGCUGCAACUCGCCUACAUGAAGUCGGAAUUGCUAGUAAUCGCGGAUCAGCAUGCCGCGGUGAAUACGUUCCCGGGCCUUGUACACACCGCCCGUCACACCAUGGGAGUCGGUAACACCCGAAGCCUGUAGUCUAACCGCAAGGAGGGCGCAGUCGAAGGUGGGAUUGAUGACUGGGGUGAAGUCGUAACAAGGUAUC